AAAAGAUUCGUCUUGUAGUUUCCAUACCAACCGUGAAAUUUGCUUUUUCAUUCUUGUCCGAAAACCCGUUCCGACAUCCGAUCAAACGUUUGAUGUGACACACAAGAAUUUUCAUUUCACCAACUAAAUACCCCCUGAGAUUUCUUGUCUCCACGAGAACUUUCCGAGCUAUCCUUUUCCCCGCUAUUUAAGCAACCCACGAGGGGUUGUUCACACUCUCAUCUCAGCCGUCGCCACCCCUCCGACGUGCGUGCUACCGAGCCACCGCCGAUCACCAUCGCCACUCCAUUGCUGCCUCCGAUCUCCGCGGUCGUCGUUGAUCGCCACCACUGGCGUCGCCGCUCCACUGCUGCCAUCGUGUGCCACCUACCGUAACCGAACGUAGCCCUCACAACAAGAAAUCUGAUGACAGAUGACGUUCAAUUUACGUCAUAAACACCAAAAAAUACGUCAUGUUUCAGAAUUUGUGACGGUCACGUGACAAAAAUACGUUCAUCACCUAUCAUGCGUCUCUAAUCAUGUUCCAUGACGAAAAUUUAUCUUUUUGUCACAAAUCUAGUGAAGAUCCUUAUUUCGUCAUUAGUUUAUGACGCUGGUUUUCGUCAUUGUUGAGGCUAGAAAACGUCAUAAAUUAUAUCGCAGCCAGCUAAAGGCCUUGUAAUAUGCAACCUAUUUAUGGGCCAAGCCUAGUUAGAAGCCUAGCUAGAUUUAUGCCUAGCCCGUUUAGCAAUUCAAAUUUUUUUCAGCCCAUGUUUAUCAAAUACCUGGUAGAACAAGCCCAUUACCCAAUAUUCGUAUCCAUUAGCAGCCCAUUAAAUUUUAGGCCUGGCCCAUGUAAAGCACAACAAUUGACGCUGAUUUUCAUCUCAUUUUUACUGUAUCGAUUUGUAUUAGUACAAUUACAAUAAAUGAGUCAAUUAAACAUUGAAUGCCCAAAUACACACAUGAUGUAUAGUAUACAUAAGAUCAAAUAUAUAGAGUACACAUACACUCAAAGGUAUAUAACAUAGUUACAUCAAGGGAACUAUUGAGAUGAUGAUGUUGUAAUGCACAUAUAACUGUAUUGGAAGAUUCAUUAGGUUGUAGCGAUAUCAAGUAAAGAUUUUCAUGUGGUACCUAUCUAUAUAAUGUAGGAUCCCCGUGAGAUUUCUUCAAUUCUACAACAUACAAGGAUGCCCCGAGCUUGACAACCUGAAGAUCAAAAUUGUUGCUAUAAGUACCAGGCAUUUUACCUCAAUACAGACAAAGAAUGAUGAUGGAUUCCUAGGGUUUUUUGAACCUAUGCCAUUUUUCAUGACUACUAAUCAAGGUGCUAAAUAUCAGGAGAUAUUUGAAGUUCUUAUGAAUGGAUUGGAUUGGGUUUCCUUUUAAGAAAAAAUAUGUCAUGGUUUCGGUUGUUACUACUGAAAUGGUUUUUUUUAACCCUGAUGUCUCUGUCGUCCUAAUUCCUGAACCAUCGAAAACUACAGCAACUGUCUGCAUUUGCAAUAGCUGUUGUCCUGAAGCAAUUUUGUCUCUUGAUCCAAUAAUUAAACGCCACAGAUACUGCACUUGUCUGAUCUCCAUAUAAAAAUAAAGUUUCUUGACUAGAACCUUUUCUUGGGAAAAAAAUUCAGACUAGAACUACAGAAUUAAGAACCAGCCAAUCGAUUUCGAGUUUUAGAUAGCUGCAAGGUGUAGAAACACAUAAAUGGACAGACUGAUUCUUAAUCCAUAAUUGGCCAGGCUUCUCGGUUAACUGAAACAAUCAAAGAACUAGAACACCAACAAUCAAACAACUAGAAAACCAAGAUGAUCAAUCAGAAGGCCCAUGUUUAAUGGCAGCAUGAAUCAAUCAAACAGAGGAGGAGACCAAGACUUCAUUAGCUUACGACGACCUAGCAGGGAGGAGGCCGUGACGGCGGAGUAGCUAUCCCAGUAGGAGUCAACGACGACGACGCUGACGAGUGGCAGCAUGGAGGUGACGAGCUUUCUUGGUCGCUGCACACUGCUCCACUCGUCGGGUCACCGAGGAGGGGGAGGGGGUGCCUCCGGCUGGGGUUGUAGUCGCCGUUGCCAUCACCUUCCUGAGCCUCACCGUCGCCAUCACCCGGGGGCCAUGGACGCUAGAUCUGGACACCCCGGGGUCGUUGACGCCAGAUCCGGACACCCCGGGCCUGUCGCCAUCACCUGGCCCCGGGCUGCUAACCCCAGAUCCGGUCACCCCAUGGUCGCCGGAUACAUGCGCUACGUACCCGUGGUGUUGAGCUCCAUGGUGAGCGAGGAGGAGGGGAGAAAGGGUGAGGGGAUGAAGAGGAGAGGAGAGUGGCGGCUGAACGGGGAGGAUAUGGUGGU
rnacentral:lncRNA from 1 species